rnacentral:sRNA from 1 species
AGUCAAUGACUCAGGGUAGCCUCCGAACAUGAUGCUCGCAGUGGGUGCCACCUGGACUCCACUCUCCCCUCUCUCUGGGAUCAUAGAGUCCAAGGUGUUCUGUGGCCUCUCGGCCAAUCCCAGCAGCUCAGCGUGCAGAAGACUGAGGAGCCAUUGGUCAGUGUAGGAGGUGCCUGGAGUUUUGGAGAUGGGAUCCACAGGUCUCUUCACACCGAACGCCUCUUCCCCUCUUGUGCCAGCUUGAUGCUGACUUCAAUAUGUUUGGGCUGCUGGGCCCAUGGGAGGAGAAAGGCUGGGGGAAUUCAACACAACACGAAAUAAUCGACAAAUUCGGGGAAUGUUAAUCUGACCAUCCCCAGUUACAAAUGAUGUUUCAUGCUACCUUCUAUUCCUGCCUUCAUAAAUCAAGCUCUAAAUCUCCAGGAAAAAGUGCGCUCAGGAUCGCCAGAGAAAUGUCCUUCCAACUGUGCAUGGAAAGGUAUGAUUUUGUGCAGCAGGUGAAGGACUGGCUAGAGUAAGUGUGUGCUGAGCUUUUGUGUUUGAAAGCGAGCCUGUGCACUUCUAACGAUUGGAAGGUUUCCUUGCCUUCUCCGAUCUUACACACAGCAAGGACAGCAAAGCCUUCCAGACCUGCCUGUGACAUGCACUGCACAUUCUAAAGAUGCCUGUGCAAUGGAAAACACCACUGUCUGCUCCAGCACAGCUGCCAUUCUUCCAUCUUAUCGACCUUAAUGCAACAACUCCUCACAGGCAGAGAUUUUAAAAUGUGUUCUUGGCAGAAGAGAGACUCAAAGAUGGGACAAAUGGGUCAUUUAAGUGCCUGUUAAAAUGGAAACAGACAUAGUAUAGUCAGAGGAUUGUGGCAGCUAAG